rnacentral:rRNA from 1 species
GAAUAUUGGACAAUGGGCGAAAGCCUGAUCCAGCCAUCCCGCGUGUUUGCAGAAGGCCUUUUGGUUGUAAAGCACUGUAAGCGAGGAGGAGGCUACUUAGAUUACUACUCUAGGAUAGUGGACGUUACUAUCAGAUUAAGCACCGGGUAACUCUGUGCCAGCCUCCGCGGUAAUACAGAGGGUGCGAGCGUUAAUCGGAGUUACUGGGCGUAAAGCGUGCGUAGGCGGCUUCUUAAGUCGGAUGUGAAAUCCCUGAGCUUAACUUAGGAAUUGCAUUCGAUACUGGGAAGCUAGAGUAUGGGAGAGGAUGGUAGAAUUCCAGGUGUAGCGGUGAAAUGCGUAGAGAUCUGGAGGAAUACCGAUGGCGAAGGCAGCCAUCUGGCCUAAUACUGACGCUGAGGUACGAAAGCAUGGGGAGCAAAC